rnacentral:lncRNA from 1 species
GCGGAGUGGUCGGGGAGCUACGACCGGUGCGGAUCAGGUGGCAGGGUGGCAGUAGUGCUCCGGUUGGCGCAGAUCAAAGGGCAGCGCGGCCUGCAGCGAGCUCCGUCUGUUGUGAAGGCAGGGGCCGUGAUAAGCCCCGUGGCGGCGCUGUCCUAUCUCCCAGUCGGUGCGGGCUACAUGAUCCGGGUCAACGGGGUGCAUGAAGCCAAUGAUGACAGGUUGUGGGAUGCAAAGCGCAGCAGCGGACUAUGGGAUCUGGUCGAGGGAGUGCGAGACCUGACAGUGCGGCUGACAACUAUUCAAGUACACGUUCAUGGUCGUGAAUGA